GCUCUUAGUUCAGUUCGGUAGAACGUGGGUCUCCAAAACUUGAUGUGGCAGGUUCUUGCUCCAAAUCCAUGUGGUAAGCU